CCCUAGUAACGGCGAGUGAAGCGGGAAAAGCUCAACUUUGUAAUCUGGCUGUUUCACAGUCCGAGUUGUAGUCUCGAGAAACGAAAUCCGCGCCGGACCUUAGACAUGUCUGUUGGAAUACAGUGUCAAAGAGGGUGAGAAUCCCGUACAUACUAAGGACGACCGUGUGCAUUGUGAUCCGUUUUCAAAGAGUCGAGUUGUUUGGGAAUGCAGCUCAAAUCUGGUGGUAAACUCCAUCUAAAGCUAAAUAUUGGCGAGAGACCGAUAGCGAACAAGUACCGUGAGGGAAAGAUGAAAAGCACUUUGGAAAGAGAAUGAAACAGUAUGUGAAAUUGCUGGAAGGGAAACGUUUGAGGUUAGACUUGCUUUUGUGGUAUUCAGCCUUCGGGUGUAUUUGCCAUUUUAUGCAGGCCAGCAUCAGUUUCAGCCGUUGUAAAAGGGUAGAGAGAACGUAGCUUGUUCGCAAGUGUUAUAGCUCUUUACUGGAUGCAAAGGUUCAGACUGAGGAACGCAGCGCGCCGCAAGGUCAAGCUUUCAAGCUUAAAGCGCUUAGGAUGCUG
rnacentral:rRNA from 1 species